rnacentral:rRNA from 1 species
GGGGACGAUAACGGCGUCGAGCGGCGGACGGGUGAGUAAUGCCUAGGAAAUUGCCCUGAUGUGGGGGAUAACCAUUGGAAACGAUGGCUAAUACCGCAUGAUGCCUACGGGCCAAAGAGGGGGACCUUCGGGCCUCUCGCGUCAGGAUAUGCCUAGGUGGGAUUAGCUAGUUGGUGAGGUAAGGGCUCACCAAGGCGACGAUCCCUAGCUGGUCUGAGAGGAUGAUCAGCCACACUGGAACUGAGACACGGUCCAGACUCCUACGGGAGGCAGCAGUGGGGAAUAUUGCACAAUGGGCGCAAGCCUGAUGCAGCCAUGCCGCGUGUGUGAAGAAGGCCUUCGGGUUGUAAAGCACUUUCAGUCGUGAGGAAGGCAGUGUAGUUAAUAGCUGCAUUAUUUGACGUUAGCGACAGAAGAAGCACCGGCUAACUCCGUGCCAGCAGCCGCGGUAAUACGGAGGGUGCGAGCGUUAAUCGGAAUUACUGGGCGUAAAGCGCAUGCAGGUGGUUUGUUAAGUCAGAUGUGAAAGCCCGGGGCUCAACCUCGGAAUUGCAUUUGAAACUGGCAGACUAGAGUACUGUAGAGGGGGGUAGAAUUUCAGGUGUAGCGGUGAAAUGCGUAGAGAUCUGAAGGAAUACCGGUGGCGAAGGCGGCCCCCUGGACAGAUACUGACACUCAGAUGCGAAAGCGUGGGGAGCAAACAGGAUUAGAUACCCUGGUAGUCCACGCCGUAAACGAUGUCUACUUGGAGGUUGUGGCCUUGAGCCGUGGCUUUCGGAGCUAACGCGUUAAGUAGACCGCCUGGGGAGUACGGUCGCAAGAUUAAAACUCAAAUGAAUUGACGGGGGCCCGCACAAGCGGUGGAGCAUGUGGUUUAAUUCGAUGCAACGCGAAGAACCUUACCUACUCUUGACAUCCAGAGAACUUUCCAGAGAUGGAUUGGUGCCUUCGGGAACUCUGAGACAGGUGCUGCAUGGCUGUCGUCAGCUCGUGUUGUGAAAUGUUGGGUUAAGUCCCGCAACGAGCGCAACCCUUAUCCUUGUUUGCCAGCGAGUAAUGUCGGGAACUCCAGGGAGACUGCCGGUGAUAAACCGGAGGAAGGUGGGGACGACGUCAAGUCAUCAUGGCCCUUACGAGUAGGGCUACACACGUGCUACAAUGGCGCAUACAGAGGGCAGCCAACUUGCGAAAGUGAGCGAAUCCCAAAAAGUGCGUCGUAGUCCGGAUUGGAGUCUGCAACUCGACUCCAUGAAGUCGGAAUCGCUAGUAAUCGUGGAUCAGAAUGCCACGGUGAAUACGUUCCCGGGCCUUGUACACACCGCCCGUCACACCAUGGGAGUGGGCUGCAAAAGAAGUAGGUAGUUUA